rnacentral:rRNA from 1 species
GACGAACGCUGGCGGCGUGCUUAACACAUGCAAGUCGAACGGAAAGGCCCUGCUUUUGUGGGGUGCUCGAGUGGCGAACGGGUGAGUAACACGUGAGUAACCUGCCCUUGACUUUGGGAUAACUUCAGGAAACUGGGGCUACUACCGGAUCGGAGCUCCUGCUGCAAGGUGGGGGUUGGAAAGUUUCGGCGGUUGGGGAUGGACUCGCGGCUUAUCAGCUUGUUGGUGGGGUAGUGGCUUACCAAGGCAUUGACGGGUAGCCGGCCUGAGAGGGUGACCGGCCACAAUGGGACUGAGAUACGGACCAGACUCCUACGGGAGGCAGCGGUGGGGAAUAUUGCACAAUGGGCGGAAGCCUGAUGCAGCAACGCCGCGGGCGUGAUGACGGCCUGCGGGUUGUAAACCGCUUUCGCCUGUGACGAAGCGUGAGUGACGGUAAUGGGUAAAGAAGCACCGGCUAACUACGUG